AUUAAAUUUAUAUGCAUUUCAUAUUUAUUUAUAUUAAGCAUUUAGCAUCUACACGAGAUAUUUAUUUAAGCAAACAUUGAACGAUUAUAGUACAACCCGGAAGAUUUUUUUUUAUUUAUUUAUUUUAUAUACUCCCACUACACCCACAACAUACCUAAUUGAUCCAACUCAAUCACAAGUGGCUCCACGGAUCAAUUAAUCACAAGUGGCUCCACACCAAGCCUCUUAAACAAAGAUUCCACCUCAGAAGAGUACCUUUACACCACAACAUUCAAUAAACACACUUGAAAGCAAAAAGAAAAAUUCCACUCGAAAUAAACAAAUGCAAGUCGAUCAUUAAAAAGCAGGAGUCGAUUUACUCCCUUCUCAUCCCCAUUCUCGGCCUCCCCUCUCUCUCUCUAUACUCUCUUUUCCUCCAUUGAUGUCCAUUGAAGAAAGCUUAGAGAAGCUUCAUCAAACACUACUAUGAGAUAAUCCACCAUCCAAUCCAAUCAAAUACUAUCAUAUCUCAUCAAAUUCAAGAAGCUAGAGCUAAGAUCAAAGUUGGAGCAAAGUCUUGAUCACCUUUUAAAUCCUUGAGCUUUGUGACCAGGGGGAUUAGCACUGCUUUCCCAAGACAGGUUUAUAUGUGAUUAUGAUCUUCAGGCUUUGCCUAACCAGGUGGGCUUACUUUCCAAAUGUACAAAGUAUGAUUGAGUUAUUAAGCUCUAAAUGUUUCAAUGAAAUGCAAAUUGUUUAUUUAAUGUAAUGAAAACUGUUUAUCCAAUAAAAUGUUUAUGUGCACUCUGCUCUGUUUAAGGCUCGCAAUUCAUGGAUCGAUCGAGGUUCUCUUAUGGCCUAACACGUUAUUUGAGAAUUGUGUACACUUGUUAGUUGUUUCGGUGGGUUGAUCUCCAUCGGGCACUAAUUCAUGUAAGAGGCGUUAUAAGGGUGCUUGGCUGGAUGUGUUCCGGAGCAUGUAUCAUGUAAGGCCUGCCUGGGUAGCGUCCCGAGGUCAAUUCAACUUGUCUGAGUUACGUCCUCAGGGCAAGUGCAAUGGGAGAAAUGGAUCCGUCGGUGGCUAGAGGUCCGGGAUCACAGCGAGUAACAGAAAGGGAGUGUGACAUGUGCGCACAAAUGAAAGAAAAUGUUUUAACAUGCUUAGAAGUACUUUUUUAAAUUUUAAAACCUUCUAAGUCAUGUCAAGUAUAAUUGGAUAAACUGUCUUUAUUAAAAUAUGAAAUGUUUCAGAAAAUGCAUGCCCACUAAGUACAUUAGUACUUAGCCCAAAAAUACUUUCAAAUGUUUUCAGGUUGGCUGGCCGGUGCUGACGGGACGGAGCUGAGGCUAGAGUUAAAAUUCAAAUGUUAGACUUCCGCUGUAGCAAUUACUCAUAUCAGUCUUUUGUUUUCCCAACUUAAGAUCUUCAUGUUAAAUUUCAAAUGAUAUACCUGACCGAGCUUAGACUCUUCACUACUUAAUUUAUGCCAAUGAAUGUCAGUUGUCAGAAGCAUGAAACAAAACUUGUGAUCCAAAGGGGCAUAGCCCGACUUUCUAUCAUAUUUCGGGUUUUUACAAGGUUGUUCCUUGUUUAUUUCUA